CUACUCAGGCGCCGCCCUGCGCACAUGCGCGUUAGACACUACCCACGACUGGCCCUUUAAGGUGGGCUGUGAGUGGGCGGGGCACUGCGGAGGAUCGCGCCUCCACGCGAUGAUGAGGGCAGCACGUUUGCGUGCCGCCGUGACGCAGUGGUUGCCGCAGAAACGCUCCGCUCCCCCCGCGCGGUGCGGUUCGCAGUGGAGCUGCCGGGAGGCGCCUGUCACCUUCAGCGCGGGCCGGAGCGGGCGGGAGACGCUGCGGCGGCGGGGCCGCCAUGGUGCUAAUCAAGGAGUAGUCUUCUCCACUCAGAUUACUGGAUUCUUUGGAAUAUUUUAGUCGUGUCAUUCUGCCUGUGUCUGUGGAGGAGGUAAGUCCUUUUCCUGCCGCUUCCUUUUCAGGACUUUGUUUUGUUUAAACAAAUGUUUAAGCUUAUGAUUGACCAGCCGACAAAAGUCAGGAAAUGCAAGAAAGACAUGCAUCCACCUUCAGGAUUAUCAUGAAACUGUAUGAUCCAAUGAUUAAGAUUGAGGACUGGGAGUCAGAUUUGUGUAUCCAGCUCUUCUGCUGACUCAGUUUGUGAUUUUAGUCAAAUCAUUUAACUUAUCUGUACCUGGGUUUUCCCAUCUUCUCUAAAAUGAGGCUAAUGAUAUUGUCCCUCCUCCUGUAAAGUGCUUUCAGAUCCAUGAAUUACAACUCCUAGAGAAGUUAAUGAUAAACUUGGAUUUGCCAGAUUGUUCCAAAGCACAACUUCCUUCUUUGUUUAAUAUAAUCAUUUUUCUUUUAAGGUGAGGAAACUUUAAUAAAUCUCUGAGGUUCCUUUUAAUCUGGGUUUGU
rnacentral:lncRNA from 1 species